GACGAACGCUGGCGGCGUGCUUAACACAUGCAAGUCGAACGGAAAGGCCCUGCUUUUGUGGGGUGCUCGAGUGGCGAACGGGUGAGUAACACGUGAGUAACCUGCCCUUGACUUUGGGAUAACUUCAGGAAACUGGGGCUAAUACCGGAUAGGAGCUCCUGCUGCAUGGUGGGGGUUGGAACGUUUCGGCGGUUGGGGAUGGAUUCGCGGCUUAUCAGCUUGUUGGUGGGGUAGUGGCUUACCAAGGCUUUGACGGGUAGCCGGCCUGAGAGGGUGACCGGCCACCUUGGGACUGAGAUACGGCCCAGACUCCUACGGGAGGCAGCAGUGGGGAAUAUUGCACAAUGGGCGGGAGCCUGAUGCAGCAACGCCGCGUGCGGGAUGACGGCCUUCGGGUUGUAAACCGCUUUCGCCUGUGACGAAGCGUGAGUGACGGUAAUGGGUAAAGAAGCACCGGCUAACUACGUG
rnacentral:rRNA from 1 species